AGUGGCGGACGGGUGAGUAAUGCAUAGGAAUCUGCCUUGUAGUGGGGGAUAACGUGGGGAAACUCACGCUAAUACCGCAUACGACCUACGGGUGAAAGGGGGGGCUCUUCGGACCUCUCGCUAUAAGAUGAGCCUAUGUUGGAUUAGCUAGUUGGUAGGGUAAAGGCCUACCAAGGCGACGAUCCAUAGCUGGUCUGAGAGGAUGAUCAGCCACACUAGGACUGAGACACGGCCCAGACUCCUACGGGAGGCAGCAGUGGGGAAUAUUGGACAAUGGGCGGAAGCCUGAUCCAGCAAUACCGCGUGUGUGAAGAAGGCCUGAGGGCUGUAAAGCACUUUCAAUGGGAAGGAAUACCUAACGGCGAAUACCCGUUAGACUGACAUUACCCAUACAAGAAGCACCGGCUAACUCCGUGCCAGCAGCCGCGGUAAUACGGAGGGUGCAAGCGUUAAUCGGAAUUACUGGGCGUAAAGCGUGCGUAGGCGGUUCGUUAAGUCAGAUGUGAAAGCCCUGGGCUCAACCUGGGAACUGCAUUUGAUACUGGCGAACUAGAGUUGAGUAGAGGAGAGUGGAAUUUCAGGUGUAGCGGUGAAAUGCGUAGAGAUCUGAAGGAACACCAGUGGCGAAGGCGGCUCUCUGGACUCAAACUGACGCUGAGGUACGAAAGCGUGGGUAGCAAACAGGAUUAGAUACCCUGGUAGUCCACGCCGUAAACGAUGUCAACUAACCGUUGGGUUCUUAAAGAACUUAGUGGUGGAGCUAACGUAUUAAGUUGACCGCCUGGGAGUACGGCCGCAAGGCUAAACUCAAAUGAAUUGACGGGGGCCCGCACAAGCGGUGGAGCAUGUGGUUUAAUUCGAUGCAACGCGAAGAACCUUACCUACCCUUGACAU
rnacentral:rRNA from 1 species